CAGUUUGUGCUCUGGCCACGCAUGAGCUGAUGUCAUAAUUGGAAAAUUCCACCCCUGUGAGGGGGAUAUUGGGUUGGAUGGAUGAGGAGGAUGAGAUGCACAUGAUUUUGACCAAGGGGAUGCCCUGAAGGGAAGAAUUUGAGGGAGGAAGAGGAGGUGAGGAAGGAUUCAGAUUUUUCAGGAAAAAAAGUCUUUGUCUC
rnacentral:lncRNA from 1 species